GUCGCCGUGCUCCAGCAGGUUGUGCAGCUUGCGCACGGCCUGCGCCACGGAGGCGGUGGGGUCCAUGAGCACGCUCUCCGCCAGGUCGAGCCACUCGCGCAGCGGCGCCGGCACCGCGCCCGGCUUGCUCUGCCGGUGCACGAACUCCACGAAGCUCUUGUAGAACCCGUCGAUGAUCUGCAGCCGCUCCACGGCCUUGAUCCACAGCCACGAGUCCAGCGGCGGCCGCGGCGGCCGCGGAACGCCCGCGACUAGCUCGUCGAACGCCACAAAAGCCUUUGUUAGCUCGAUGUCACCGCCCAAACCGGCCUGCGCCCAUUCCGGAUCCGUUACGUUCCUCCACAGCUGCUGCUCUAGCGCGUACAACUUGGAUCUCACGGAAUCUACCGCCGUGGGGUCGCCCGCGCUGGCGACGGCCAGCAGCGCAAACAGCGCCGCAAUUUUCAUACUUUACACUACACUGAAACGUCUCACGCUACGCACGGUUCGUAACGCACU